GAUGAACGCUAGCGGCAGGCCUAAUACAUGCAAGUCGAGGGGCAGCAGGAAUAGCAAUAUUUGCUGGCGACCGGCGCACGGGUGCGUAACACGUAUACAAUCUGCCUUCUACAGGGGGAUAGCCUUUCGAAAGAGAGAUUAAUACCCCAUAACACAAGAAAUAGCAUUAUUUUUUGUUGAAGGAUCCGUCGGUAGAAGAUGAGUAUGCGGGGGAUUAGCUAGUUGGUGAGGUAACGGCUCACCAAGGCAACGAUCAGUAGGGGAUCUGAGAGGACUACCCCCCACACUGGUACUGAGACACGGACCAGACUCCUACGGGAGGCAGCAGUAAGUAAUAUUGGACAAUGGAGGCAACUCUGAUCCAGCCAUGCCGCGUGCAGGAUGAAGGCCCUAUGGGUCGUAAACUGCUUUUGUACGAGAGAAAACCUAUUUACGUGUAGAUAGUUGAUAGUAUCGUAAGAAUAAGGAUCGGCUAACUUCGUGCCAGCAGCCGCAGUAA
rnacentral:rRNA from 1 species